rnacentral:pre_miRNA from 1 species
CCCAAAGUCGUAUCAGGUGGCCAAUUUUUAUCAAGGAAAGCUGUAUCAUCAAGUGCCUCCCUCUGUCUCUUGAUGAUUCAGCCUUCCUUGACAAAAAUUGCCCACCUGAUACGACUGGGA